UACGAAGGGGGCUAGCGUUGCUCGGAAUCACUGGGCGUAAAGGGCGCGUAGGCGGCUUGACAAGUCAGGGGUGAAAUCCGGCAGCUUAACUGUCGCAGUGCCUUUGAUACUGUCGAGCUCGAGGGAGGUAGGGGUCUGUGGAACUUCCGGUGGAGCGGUGAAAUGCGUUGAUAUCGGAAGGAACGCCGGUGGCGAAAGCGACGGACUGGAUCUCUUCUGACGCUGAGGCGCGAAAGCCAGGGGAGCAAACGGG
rnacentral:rRNA from 1 species